rnacentral:lncRNA from 1 species
UAGUUUUCUCUUGUUUUGUUUUGAAAUAGAAGAAGAUGGAGAAGAAAUCAAAUCAAAUCAAAUCAAAUCAAAUCAAUUUGGGGUUUCUCUUCUUCCAUCAUCAAGUUCAAGUUAGGUUUUUUUUAUUAAAUUCAGAAGAAAUCAAAUCAGGGUUUCGAAUUUGAAAUUGGGGUGGUUGGUGUUUCGAAUUUGAAAUACAAGAAGAUGGAAAAUAAAUCAAAUCAAAUCAAAUCAAGUCAAUUUGGGGUUUCUCUUCUUCCAUCAUCAAGUUCAAGUUAGGGAGGUUUUUUAUCAAAUUCAGAAGAAAUCAAAUUGGGGUUUCGAAUUUGAAAUUGGGGUUGUUGGGGUUUCUCUUCUUCAUCGUCAAGUUCAAGUUAGGUUUUUUUAUCAAAUUCAGAAGAAAUCAAAUUGGAGUUUUCAAUCUUUACAACAACAACAUCAUCAUCAUCGCCACUGAAUUUGGGCGAAAUUGGGGUUUUCAAUUUGCACAACAUCAUCAUCAUCAUCGUCAUCGCCACUGAAUUUGGGCGAAAUUAGGGUUUCAAGGUUAGUUCUUCUUAACAAUUUCAUGUUUCUCGAUCUCUUGUUAAUUUGUGAGAAGAAUUAUGAUUAUUUCAUUCUUGAUGUUGGUGGUAAUUGUGAUUGUUUCCUUCUUCUCUGAUGUUGUUAGAAAG